rnacentral:rRNA from 1 species
AAGUAAGUGUUUAAGGGCGCAUGGUGGAUGCCUUGGCAUCGAGAGCCGAUGAAGGACGUGGGAGGCUGCGAUAUGCCUCGGGGAGCUGUCAACCGAGCAUUGAUCCGAGGAUUUCCGAAUGGGGAAACCCAGCACGAGUGAUGUCGUGUUACCCGUAUCUGAAUAUAUAGGGUGCGGGAGGUAACGCGGGGAAGUGAAACAUCUCAGUACCCGUAGGAGAAGAAAACAAUUGUGAUUCCGUCAGUAGUGGCGAGCGAACGCGGAACAGGCUAAACCGCAUGCAUGGACAACCGGGUAGGGGUUGUGUGUGCGGGGUUGUGGGAUUGAUAUGUCUCAGCUCUACCUGGCUGAGGGGUAGUCAGAAAGUGUCGUGGUUAGCGGAAGUGGCCUGGGACGGCCCGCCGUAGACGGUGAGAGCCCGGUACGCGAAAACCCGGCACCUGCCUUAUAUCAACACCCGAGUAGCAGCGGGCCCGUGGAAUCUGCUGUGAAUCUGCCGGGACCACCCGGUAAGCCUAAAUACUUCUCGAUGACCGAUAGCGGAUUAGUACCGUGAGGGAAUGGUGAAAAGUACCCCGGGAGGGGAGUGAAAUAGUACCUGAAACCGUGUGCCUACAAUCCGUCAGAGCCUCCUCGUGGGGUGAUGGCGUGCCUUUUGAAGAAUGAGCCUGCGAGUCAGGGACACGUCGCGAGGUUAACCCGUGCGGGGUAGCCGCAGCGAAAGCGAGUCUGAAUAGGGCGCAUCCCCUUUGGGGUGUAGUGGCGUGUUCUGGACCCGAAGCGGAGUGAUCUACCCAUGGCCAGGGUGAAGCGCGGGUAAGACCGCGUGGAGGCCCGAACCCACUUAGGUUGAAGACUGAGGGGAUGAGCUGUGGGUAGGGGUGAAAGGCCAAUCAAACUCCGUGAUAGCUGGUUCUCCCCGAAAUGCAUUUAGGUGCAGCGUUGCGUGGUUCACCACGGAGGUAGAGCUACUGGAUGGCCGAUGGGCCCUACUAGGUUACUGACGUCAGCCAAACUCCGAAUGCCGUGGUGUAAAGCGUGGCAGUGAGACGGCGGGGGAUAAGCUCCGUACGUCGAAAGGGAAACAGCCCAGAUCGCCGGCUAAGGCCCCUAAGCGUGUGCUAAGUGGAAAAGGAUGUGUAGUCGCAGAGACAACCAGGAGGUUGGCUUAGAAGCAGCCACCCUUGAAAGAGUGCGUAAUAGCUCACUGGUCAAGUGAUUAUGCGCCGAUAAUGUAGCGGGGCUCAAGCACACCGCCGAAGCCGCGGCACAUUCAUCUUUACGGUGGAUGUGGGUAGGGGAGCGUCCCCCAUUCAGCGAAGCCUCCGGGUGACCGGUGGUGGAGGGUGGGGGAGUGAGAAUGCAGGCAUGAGUAGCGAUAAGGCAAGUGAGAACCUUGCCCGCCGUAAGACCAAGGGUUCCUGGGCCAGGCCAGUCCGCCCAGGGUGAGUCGGGACCUAAGGCGAGGCCGACAGGCGUAGUCGAUGGACAACGGGUUGAUAUUCCCGUACCCGUGUAUGGGCGUCCCUGAUGAAUCAGCGGUACUAACCACCCAAAACCGGAUCGACCAUUCCCCUUCGGGGGCGUGGCGAUUCGGGGCUGCGUGGGACCUUCGCUGGUAGUAGUCAAGCAAUGGGGUGACGCAGGAAGGCAGCCGUACCAGUCAGUGGUAAUACUGGGGCAAGCCCGUAGGGAGAGCGAUAGGCAAAUCCGUCGCUCACUAAUCCUGAGAGGUGAUGCAUAGCCGGUUGAGGCGAAUUCGGUGAUCCUCUGCUGCCAAGAAAAGCCUCUAGCGAGCACAUACACGGCCCGUACCCCAAACCAACACAGGUGGUCAGGUAGAGAAUACCAAGGCGUACGAGAUAACUAUGGUUAAGGAACUCGGCAAAAUGCCCCCGUAACUUCGGGAGAAGGGGGGCCGGAAUACCGUGAACACCCUUGCGGUGGGAGCGGGAUUCGGCCGCAGAAACCAGUGGGUAGCGACUGUUUACUAAAAACACAGGUCCGUGCGAAGUCGCAAGACGAUGUAUACGGACUGACGCCUGCCCGGUGCUGGAAGGUUAAGAGGACCCGUUAACCCGUAAGGGUGAAGCGGAGAAUUUAAGCCCCAGUAAACGGCGGUGGUAACUAUAACCAUCCUAAGGUAGCGAAAUUCCUUGUCGGGUAAGUUCC